rnacentral:rRNA from 1 species
CCUACGGGUGGCAGCAGUGAGGAAUAUUGGUCAAUGGCCGAGAGGCUGAACCAGCCAAGUCGCGUGAGGGAAGAAUGUCCUAUGGAUUGUAACCCUCUUUUGUCCGGGAGCCAAGUCACCCACGCGUGGGUGUUGGAUAUUACCUGAAGAAAAAGCAUCGGCUAACUCCGUGCCAGCAGCCGCGGUAAUACAGCGGAUGCGAGCUUUAUCCGGAUGUAUUGGGUUUAAAGGGUGCGUAGGCGGGUUAUCAAGUCAGCGGUAAAAUCGUUGAGCUCAACUCCAUCCAGCCGUUGAAACUGAUGAUCUUGAGUGGGCGAGAAGUAUGCGGAAUGCGUGGUGUAGCGGUGACAUGCAUAGAUAUCACGCAGAACUCCGAUUGCGAAGGCAGCAUACCGGCGCCCGACUGACGCUGAAGCACGAAAGCGUGGGUAUCGAACAGGAUUAGAUACCCGAGUAGUC